UACGGAGGGUGCAAACGUUGCUCGGAAUCAUUGGGCGUAAAGCGCACGUAGGCGGCCUGAUAAGUCGGAUGUGAAAGCCCUAGGCUUAACCAAGGAAGUGCAUUCGAAACUGUCAGGCUUGAGUAUGGGAGAGGGUUGCGGAAUUCCCGGUGUAGAGGUGAAAUUCGUAGAUAUCGGGAGGAACACCAGAGGCGAAGGCGGCAGCCUGGACCAAUACUGACGCUGAGGUGCGAAAGCGUGGGGAGCAAAC
rnacentral:rRNA from 1 species